UGGUGGAGUGAUUUGUCUGGUUAAUUCCGUUAACAACGAGACCUUAGCCUGCUAACUAGUCGCGGCGAUCUCGAUCGUCGUCGACUUCUUAGAGGGACUUUGUGGCACUAAACACAAGGAAGUUUGAGGCAAUAACA
rnacentral:rRNA from 1 species